CCCCAACAUAAAUAAACAAACGAUUUAAAGAAAAUACGGAAAACAACAAAAAUAUUCUAGACAAUAAAAGUGGAGCGUGAAAAUUUGAAAGCUAACGAGAACUUAGUGGAAUUAAAAAAAAUCAAGAUCUCUAUGUUUUAUAAAGUUUAAGUCAAGGCCCACAAGAACAACCAACAUGGCAAAUUCUGCUAAUUCUUUUUUUGAAAGUAAUGUUGGCCCGUAAAUUCCGAAAAAAGUUCUUCAUCGAGUAUGUACGGCAGACGUUCUAUGAUUACCUAACGCUUGAUAAAAAGAAUCACAAGAUUAGUGCAAAAAGUUAAAUGAAAGUGAGAGAUUUAUAAUUCGGAAAAAUAUCGCUAAAAAUGGAAACUGGAGAAAACGCGAGUGUCUCGUCAAUAGAAUGCACAAUGAACAACUACGCAAUUCCUGGUACAACAAAACAGGCUUAAGAUAGCGGAGAAUGAAAAAUUAUUUUCAUCAAUUUCAUAUGUUAAUUUUACAUCACACUCACCCCAAACCGUACUAGGAAG